rnacentral:rRNA from 1 species
UACGUAGGUGGCAAGCGUUGUCCGGAUUUACUGGGCGUAAAGAGCGCGUAGGCGGCUCGUUAAGUGUGAAGUGAAAUCUCCAGGGCUCAACCCGGAAACUGCUUUACAUACUGGCGAGCUGGAGUGAUGCAGAGGUUUGUGGAAUUCCUGGUGUAACGGUGAAAUGUGUUGAUAUCAGGAGGAACACCCAUGGCGAAGGCAGCAAACUGGGCAUCAACUGACGCUGAGGCGCGAAAGCGUGGGUAGCAAACAGG